UAUUUUUUGGAAAGAGUAGAUCAAAUUUGUUUGUAUUUCUUAAUUCAUCUUGCUAAUAUGUGAUGGUUACAUUGAUUGUGUUUCAGUUCAUCAACAUCUUCCAUUCAUGUCUGAAUUGAGUCUCAAUGCACCCCAUGGAAUGUUGCUAUUGAGCUACUUCAGAAUAAAGAUUUUCCAUGAAUAUGGAAAAGAGAGUGAUGCAGAACCAGUAUAUAAAAGUACUAUUGCUGAAGAAAGGGCUGCCUGCAACUUCUAAAACUAUCCAUGAGGAACUAUCCUAUCUGGAUACAGUGAUUCAAUGAGAAAUGGAAAGAUUGCCCUAUUUCCACAUUCCCUCUAUGCUGAUAGAUGGCUCACUUGUCCAUGAAGAAACUUCAGACUGGACAUCUUUUCACUAGAAGAUAAGAACAGAGACUAUCACAUCCCCCAUGCCAUUCUCAUUCAGGACUAAAAUGGGAAAAAGAUGCAAAUCAGAUACAAAAUGUCAUAACCAUAAAUGCAGCCAGCCAACUAGCAUGGGAGGUGUAGCUUACACCACCUACAGGGUACUUAACUCUGUAAAAGUUUCAUCUUUAACUGUUGGCUGUCCAGGUCUGUUGUCCUUUUCGUAUGAUAAUUGUUUGCCUUUUCCUAUGACCUCAACUUCUCUCCGCAACCAAAAACUCCCAAAUCUGGAUUUCAAGGCAAACUUUUGGCCUUGAAAUGUUUGAACGUAUGGGGAUGUUCAUCUCUCAAGCCCAUUCCAAUUAAUGUGAUUUGUUUUUCAGAUGAUAGUACUGAGCUUUUUCUUCCCACAUCUCUCAGCCAUCUUCGCAUAAUUGAUUUCCAAAACUUGAAAUCCAUAGCCUCUAUGGGACUCAAGAGCGUUGUCUCUCUGGAAACUCUUGUGUUGAAGGACUGCUCUAGGCUCGGGUCUGUUGCAACAAAGGAGAGCUGCCACCCACGCUUGAAGAGCUUCAAAUCAAGGAUUUUCCUAUUCUAAAGAAGAGGUGCCUCAAAGAAGAAGGAAAGGAUUGGCUCAUAAUUGCCUACGUCCCCAAUGUCCUAAUAGAUGAAAUUAUACAACAAUAAGAACUUGCAAGAUUAGGGCCUGGCACCAGGCUUGGCCUCUCACACUGCUGAAUUUCCUACACCUCCAGCAAAUGUGGAAGCCCCUUUUAAUUAUGGUAACCUGGAGAAAGCUGUCAACAAGGCAGCAUCAUCUAACAUUUCUGGAAGAUAUGAAAAUGUUGCUCUGCAUCAAGGACAAAAAUCGACACGCGUAAGACUUGAUAUCUUGCUCAUUGUCUUCCAAAAUAUUUGUGUUUCCUAGAUACAGGAUAGAUUGUUUCUACAAUAUGCCGCAUCCUUUUGUAAAAAUAGAUGACUGAAUCAUCUUUUAAAGAAUCCUGGUUUCUAUUUGCUAAAGUACAAGCAUUGAUCAUACUUUCCUCUUUGUGUUCAAUGAGGUACACAUGGAUACUUUUCUCCUGUAUUAUUCAUAGAAUUCUCCAUGUACCUGUUGGUUGAAAAAGCAAAGAAAGAUGCAAAUGUGUUCAUCAAGAUCUGUAUCCCUGUUCAUGUCUCAAUGCACCCAUUGGAAUGUUGCUAUUGUGCUAGUUCAGAAUAGGGAAAAGAUAGAAAUGCAAGACUGGUUCCAGUGCCAUGGAUCAAGAAAUGUGUCAAGUUUCAAUCCUUUUGCUGAAGAAAGGGCUCCUGAUAGUUCUAAAACUAUUCAUGAGGAACUGUCCUAUCUGGGAACACAGUGAUUAAAGGAGAAAUGGAAAGAUUGCUUGCCCCAUUUCUACAUUCCCUGUAUGCUGACAGGUGGCUCACUUGUCCACCAAGAAACUUCAGAAUGAAUUAUCUUUUCACUAGAAAACAAGAACAGAGACUACCGCAUCCCCGUGCUCUUUUCAAUCAGCACUAAAAUGGGAAAAGAAGCACACCAAAUCCAAAAUUUCAAAAACCGUAAAUGCAGCCUACUAGCAUGGAGAGAGGUCACUUUAUUUUUAGGGUGUACCUGCAGGAAAAGGGGCUGAUGUAGAUAAAAGAAAAAUCCCUGGUCAUUGCUGCAGCUUAUCAGUAUCUGCAUGGAAUGCCAGAAUAUGAAGAGGCCUCCAUCAGAGUGGGGGGCCUUCUCACACCCACCUCUCUUACAGAAUUCAUCUCUCUGGAAACUCGUGUUGAAGGACUGCUCUAGGCUCGGGUCUGUUGCAACAAAGGAGAGCUGCCACCCACGCUUGCAGAGCUUCAAAUCAAGGAUUGUCCAAUUCUAAAGAUGAGGUGCCUCAAAGAAAAAGGAAAGGAUUGGCUCAAGAUUGCCUACAUCUCCAAUGUUCUAAUAGAUGAAAUUAUACAACAAUAAGCAAAUGUGACAGCAAAUGAGAAGCUGUCAACAAGUCUGCAUGGUCUCAGGGGAUUGGUUUAUCAUUGUUGCUCUGCAUCAAGGACCACAAUCGACACUUGCAAGACUUGAUAUCUUGCUCAUUCUCUUCCACAAUAUGUGUGCUUCCAAGAUAAAGGAUAGAUUGUUCGCAAAAGUACCAGCUUUGAUCGUACUUUCCUCUUCAUCUUCAAUGAGUUCAUCAAGAUCUGUAUCCCCAUUCAUGUCUCGAUCUCAGUCCACCAGUGGGAAUGUUGCUAUUUUGCCAGUUCAGAAUAAAUAUUUGCCAUGAAUAGGGAAAAAAUAGAAUUCCAAGACCGGUUAAAGUGCUAUGGAUCAACGGAGAGCUGCCUGCAAAUUCUGAAACUGUCUAUGAGGGACUAUCCUAUCUGUGGAAACUCAGUGAUUCAAGGAGAAAUAGAAGGAUUGCCCUAUUUCUACAUUCCCUGUAUGCUGAUAGAUAAUGUUUCAAUUUUUGGACUGAUUGGAACUCGUGCUUAAAUGGUGAAUGACUAUGUAAUCGACACUGUGAAUUGAAUGUCAUUGUUCAUUGCAUGUUUGGAUAUAAUGACUCUAGUUUGUUUCUUAGGAAAAUGUUAAAAUCUUACUGUUCCUUUCUCCCUUUGCAAUGGAUUUACGGACCUGUCUUUUCUGUUUC